ACGUAGGUGGCAAGCGUUGUCCGGAUUUACUGGGCGUAAAGGGUGCGUAGGUGGAUAUUUAAGUCAGAUGUGAAACCCCCAGGCUCAACCUGGGAACUGCAUUUGAAACUGGAUAUCUGGAGUGCAGGAGAGGUAAGUGGAAUUCCUAGUGUAGCGGUGAAAUGCGUAGAGAUUAGGAAGAACACCAGUGGCGAAGGCGACUUACUGGACUGUAACUGACACUGAGGCACGAAAGCGUGGGUAGCAAACAG
rnacentral:rRNA from 1 species